AAGGUUGACCUCGGAUCAGGUAGGGAUACCCGCUGAACUUAAGCAUAUCAA
rnacentral:rRNA from 1 species